UACGUAGGGGGCAAGCGUUGUCCGGAUUUAUUGGGCGUAAAGAGCGUGUAGGCGGUUAGGUAGGUCCGUUGUGAAAACUCGAGGCUCAACCUCGAGACGCCGAUGGAAACCAUCUGACUAGAGUCCGGAAGAGGAGAGUGGAAUUCCUGGUGUAGCGGUGAAAUGCGCAGAUAUCAGGAGGAACACCGGUGGCGAAGGCGAGUCUCUGGACGACCCCUGACACUGAGGCACGAAAGCUAGGGGAGCGAACAGG
rnacentral:rRNA from 1 species